AUGCAGUCGACGAUGAAGGGGAGCUUGCUUCCUGGAUUAGUGGCGAACGGGUGAGUAAUACGUGAGUAACCUGCCCUUGACUCUGGGAUAAGCACUGGAAACGGUGUCUAAUACCGGAUACGAACUUCCACCGCAUGGUGAGGAGUUGGAAAGAAUUUUGGUCAAGGAUGGACUCGCGGCCUAUCAGCUAGUUGGUGAGGUAAUGGCUCACCAAGGCGACGACGGGUAGCCGGCCUGAGAGGGUGACCGGCCACACUGGGACUGAGACACGGCCCAGACUCCUACGGGAGGCAGCAGUGGGGAAUAUUGCACAAUGGGCGCAAGCCUGAUGCAGCAACGCCGCGUGAGGGACGAAGGCCUUCGGGUUGUAAACCUCUUUUAGUAGGGAAGAAGCGUAAAAGUGACGGUACCUGCAGAAAAAGCACCGGCUAACUACGUGCCAGCAGCCGCGGUAAUACGUAGGGUGCAAGCGUUAUCCGGAAUUAUUGGGCGUAAAGAGCUCGUAGGCGGUUUGUCGCGUCUGCUGUGAAAUCUGGGGGCUCAACCCCCAGCCUGCAGUGGGUACGGGCAGACUAGAGUGCGGUAGGGGAGAUUGGAAUUCCUGGUGUAGCGGUGGAAUGCGCAGAUAUCAGGAGGAACACCAAUGGCGAAGGCAGAUCUCUGGGCCGUAACUGACGCUGAGGAGCGAAAGCAUGGGGAG
rnacentral:rRNA from 1 species